rfam:Gossypium hirsutum cultivar TM-1 chromosome 23, whole genome shotgun sequence
AUUUUGUGAUGAGGGCAUCUUCAUAAUAGUUCUUUAAAUCUUUCCCAUGCCUCAUGCAAUGAUUCAUCAUCACCUAUUGGAAGGUAGUGAUCUCGUUCCUUAACUU